GAUGAACGCUCGCUACAGGCUUAACACAUGCAAGUCGAGGGGCAGCGGUAUCGAAAGCUUGCUUUCGGUAGCCGGCGACCGGCGCACGGGUGAGUAACGCGUAUCGAACCUGCCUCAUACUCGGGAAUAGCCUUGCGAAAGUAAGAUUAAUGCCCGGUGUUUUCAGAGUCCCGCAUGAGGCUUUGAACAAAGAUUUAUCGGUAUGAGAUGGCGAUGCGUCCCAUUAGCUUGUUGGCGGGGUAACGGCCCACCAAGGCAUCGAUGGGUAGGGGUUCUGAGAGGAAGGUCCCCCACAUUGGAACUGAGACACGGUCCAAACUCCUACGGGAGGCAGCAGUGAGGAAUAUUGGUCAAUGGGCGGAAGCCUGAACCAGCCAAGUAGCGUGCAGGAAGACGGCCCUCCGGGUUGUAAACUGCUUUUAGUUGGGAAUAAAACGGGGCUCGUGAGCCCCCUUGCAUGUACCAUCAGAAAAAGAACCGGCUAAUUCCGUG
rnacentral:rRNA from 1 species